UACGGAGGGAGCAACCGUUGCUCGGAAUUACUGCGCGUAAAGCGUACGCAGGCUGUUCACUAAGUCGGGUGUGAAAUCCCGGGGCUCAACCCCGGAAUUGCGCCCGAAACUGGUGGGCUUGAGUGCGGGAGAGGGAAGCGGAAUUCCUGGUGUAGAGGUGAAAUUCGUAGAUAUCAGGAGGAACACCGGUGGCGAAAGCGGCUUCCUGGCCCGACACUGACGCUCAUGUACGAAAGCGUGGGGAGCAAACAGG
rnacentral:rRNA from 1 species